rnacentral:rRNA from 1 species
GACGAACGCUGGCGGCGUGCCUAAUACAUGCAAGUUGAGCACUGAAGGUUGGUACUUGUACCAACUGGAUGAGCAGCGAACGGGUGAGUAACGCGUGGGGAAUCUGCCUUUGAGCGGGGGACAACAUUUGGAAACGAAUGCUAAUACCGCAUAAAAACUUUAAACACAAGUUUUAAGUUUGAAAGAUGCAAUUGCAUCACUCAAAGAUGAUCCCGCGUUGUAUUAGCUAGUUGGUGAGGUAAAGGCUCACCAAGGCGAUGAUACAUAGCCGACCUGAGAGGGUGAUCGGCCACAUUGGGACUGAGACACGGCCCAAACUCCUACGGGAGGCAGCAGUAGGGAAUCUUCGGCAAUGGACGAAAGUCUGACCGAGCAACGCCGCGUGAGUGAAGAAGGUUUUCGGAUCGUAAAACUCUGUUGGUAGAGAAGAACGUUGGUGAGAGUGGAAAGCUCAUCAAGUGACGGUAACUACCCAGAAAGGGACGGCUAACUACGUG